UGCAAAGUCAACAUAUAGGAGGUCCUACCUGCCCAGUGACAAGUUUAAACGGCCGCGGUAUUUUGACCGUGCGAAGGUAGCGCAAUCACUUGUCUUUUAAAUGAAGACCUGUAUGAAUGGUGAAACGAGGGCUUAACUGUCUCCCCUUUCAAGUCAAUGAAAUUGAUCUGCCCGUGCAGAAGCGGACAUAAAAAUACAAGACGAGAAGACCCUUUGGAGCUUAAGAUACAAGAUCACCUAUGUCAAGGACACAACACACUAGUCAAACUAAAUAACAAUUGACCUUAAUCUUCGGUUGGGGCGACCACGGGAGAAAAUAAAGCUCCCAUGCGGACUGGGAUAAUCCCCUAAAAUCAAGAGAGACAUCUCUAAACAGCAGAACUUCUGACCAUAAAGACCCGGCUAUCUGCCGACCAACGAACCAAGUUACCCUAGGGAUAACAGCGCAAUCCCCUUUCAGAGUCCAUAUCGACAAGGGGGUUUACGACCUCGAUGUUGGAUCAGGACAUCCUAAUGGUGUAGCCGCUAUUAAGGGUUCG
rnacentral:rRNA from 1 species